UAGUCGGCGUGUGUGUGUGUGUGUGUGUGUGUGUGUGUGUGUCUCUGUCACUCUGUGCGCGCAGGACAAACGUGCUCACGCCAGGAGGAGGGAAUUGUAGGAAAGGGGUGUUGCUCUCAGAGGGUGUGCUGUGCUCAACUUUCCUCUCCCUCCUUCCCGCCAUCACGUUCCUCCUUCUUCUUCUUCUUCUUCUAGUUUUAUUUCUUUAUAUUUCUAUUUUCUCCUCUCCUCCUCCACCACCAGUCCAGUGUGGCCUACACACAGACUACAGGUAUUUCAUCCAUUUUCAACCCGUAUCAUCUAAUUCUGCUGCCUUUCCCUCCUCCUCCCCUUCUCCUUCGCUGUCUCUGCCCUAACUCCUCUGGUUCUUUUCGUCCUUUUUUCCCGAGCUGGGUCCUCGUCCGACAUUCAGUUUUUUCCUCGUCAAACGCGCCUUCUUGUCUUCGCAUGCCACAUCCCACUCCGCUCGCCGCCAUUUUGGCUCGAAACAACAUCUCGGGGAAAACUUUUUUAAAAAGCUCAGAGCUCAAUGUGACUCCACAUUGACCCUGUCCUUCUGUCCCCCCUCCCUGGGCCACCUUUCAGUGUCUCUCAACUCCCUCUGACCUCUCCUGUCCUUCCUCUGUGCUCACAGGACACCAGCAGCAGCAACAGUCCUCAGUAAACAGUCAGUCUGUUGAGUUGCUCCAGAGACAGGUGUCUCUCUUUUUUUGUGUGGGGACAGACAAUAGGAAGAGGAUGGUCUUUUUUGGCUUCUCUCUCAGAGAUCAGACCGGAAUAGUUUUCAGGAGUUUGAUUCUGGAGAAUCGUCUGCUGGAAUAGAAAAACCACUGCUGUUCUCUGGGAUGAGGUAGUAGAUUGAAUAGUUGUGAGGUUUCCUGACCUCGUUGUAGGAUAACUAUACAAUCUACUGUCUUUUCCAAGGAAACAGCUAAGUCGUCACAGACACAGCAGACGCUACAGUAGCCAGUUAAACCAAUUCUGCUCUGUGACUAGGAUUUUUCUUUUUUUUUUUUUGGUAGUUACAGGAGGGCGUUGCAGGGUUGAUGUCGAUGCUUGAAAGAGCUCACUGUCAAAGCUAAACUUUGGCUACAGCUCAGGACCUCAAACGUAUCAAUACCAAGGCUAGCUCAACAGAAUAUCGCACUCCUCUACACCACACUGUGACUGAACUUUAUUUUUUGGCAAUUGAUAAUAAAUAGGGAUGGUCGAUAAUAUCGGACAACUGAUAUUAUCGGCCCAAUAUUAGCAUAAUUAUGUAAUUCUAUGUAAAUAUCGUUAUCAGUUUUUCCUCCGAUAAUGAAACCCCAGUAAUGCAAUACCUGGGUUUUGCCAAAUGAAGUGUGCCCUUAAAAUAGUUUUGGGGGAAAAACGGCUGUAUAUGAAAGUGAAAGUCACUAGAUGGCAGUGUUGCAGCUCCCUAAUGUGUUGCAGACAUCCCUAAUAAUAGACAAACAUAAACAGAAAGAGUCUGAAUUUAAUUUGGUUUAUACAAGUAUUUUCCGCAUCUACACAUACGUACCCAUGAAUGUCUAAAAAAAAAAAAGCGGAAAUAGAAAAAUCUCUUGAGAAUACGCUUAGGUUACUUUUUUAGUAAAUUAAUGCAAACUCUCCUUUUGUCAGUAAUCACAGGACACAGUCAUUUCAUGACAUCUGACCUCCAAACUGGGCUCUCUCAGGGUGAGGUAGUAGGUUGUAUAGUUUGGUGGGCUCAAACCCUGCUCAGGUGAUAACUAUACAAUCUAUUGCCUUCCCAGAGGAGUUCGCUGAUGCUCAUCAUCACUUUUAAAGUUUCUACAUAUCAAGAUUCAAAUGUGUUUUUGAAAUAAAUCAAUUUGGUUUAAGGUACUAUUUGAACAUUUUUGUUUUAUCACGUUUUUCUGCCUAGAUUUAAAGAUCCAGGAAACAAGAAAGUACAUAAACAAAGUGUUGGUAAUUUUUAGUAUAUUAUAUAGUUGUACUGCUACAUUUGUGUUUGUAUAUUUGUUUAUUCUAAUUAGAAAAAAAUUACGGGUCAUUUGGAAUAUUUAAAAUACUUAUGUUGAAUUUUUUUCAUGCUCAUGUGUCAGUUAUGUUGCUUAAGCCAAAAAACUUUUUAAAUUUUGUUUUUUAUAAAUAUAUAAUAUUUGACUUGUGUGUGUUUUUGUGUAUUUUUAUGUGUGCGUGCGUGUGUAGUGAGAUACACCCCCCAAGUUGAUAUGACUGAUACAGUAACAGGCAUCUAAGAUUGUUAUCAACCAUUUACUGGAUUAGUUUGCAUAAACUUUGCCUGUGUGUAUUUUUAUACGCGAGUGUCUGGUUCAGUUAACAAUCUGUGUUUGCAUGGAUCUUUCAAGAGACAUAAGGAUGAUUUG